AACACAUAAAAAUUACUCAAUAAUAUUUUUAGAAAAAUAAAAAAAAAGAUUCAUUAAUAUAAUGAAAAGUUUUAUUGCUUCUGCACAAACUUCGUGAAGGACGUGCAGAAGAAAUUAAUUUUCUUGCUCAAGAAUUUUCUCUUUUAAAAAGAACAAAUUUGUAAUUUUUCAGACAGUAGGUACUAAAGGCAAAAUUCAAUCGAAUACAAUGGCGAGACAUUCUUUUAAAAUCAUCUUACUUUUUUUCUUUAUUUUCUUUGCUCAACAAUUUUGAUUCGUCAGCAGCUAGGCCGCUUGUUGUUAGAUUGGGUCCCAUUGGGCCUUUUGGUCCCAUUGGUCCCUUUGGUCCCUUUGGUCCUUUUGGUCCUUUUGGUCCCAUCAGUAUUGUCGUGGAUUUCGGCGCUCCUUCAGGUGUUUCAGGUCCGUCACUCCAAAGCAGUGAACUUCAAAUAUAUAGAGAUAUAGACGAUAUGUUGUAAAAGACAACUAUUGAGAAUUAAAAAAGGUUCUCCUGAUAUUUUAAUCAACCAACAGCAAUUUAUCUUAAUAUAAAAUAGAAAAUUAUUUCUCGCUACGACAUUUGCUGCUUCAACCAACAUUGUCGUUUAAAUGUAAAAAGGUGGAGGAAAUGGGUUAAUAAAAAUGCAAACAAAAAUAUUAAAUUUUAAAUAU